rnacentral:rRNA from 1 species
AUUGAACGCUGGCGGCAUGCUUUACACAUGCAAGUCGAACGGUAACAGCACUUCGGUGGCUGACGAGUGGCGAACGGGUGAGUAAUACAUCGGAACGUGCCUAGUAGUGGGGGAUAACUACUCGAAAGAGUAGCUAAUACCGCAUGAGAUCUAAGGAUGAAAGCAGGGGACCUUCGGGCCUUGCGCUACUAGAGCGGCUGAUGGCGGAUUAGGUAGUUGGUGGGAUAAAAGCUUACCAAGCCGACGAUCUGUAGCUGGUCUGAGAGGACGACCAGCCACACUGGAACUGAGACACGGCCCAGACUCCUACGGGAGGCAGCAGUGGGGAAUGUUGGACAAUGGGCGCAAGCCUGAUCCAGCAAUGCCGCGUGCAGGAUGAAGGCCUUCGGGUUGUAAACUGCUUUUGUACGGAACGAAAAGCCCUCUUCUAAUACAGGAGGGUCAUGACGGUACCGUAAGAAUAAGCACCGGCUAACUACGUG